rnacentral:rRNA from 1 species
GACGAACGCUGGCGGCGUGCCUAAUACAUGCAAGUAGAACGCGGAAGGAGGAGCUUGCUUCUCUGGAUGAGAUGCGAACGGGUGAGUAACGCGUAGGUAACCUGCCUGGUAGGGGGGGAUAACUAUUGGAAACGAUAGCUAAUACCGCAUAAUAGUAGAUGUUGCAUGACAUUUGCUUAAAAGGUGCAAUUGCAUCAAUACCAGAUGGACCUGCGUUGUAUUAGCUAGUUGGUGGGGUAACGGCUCACCAAGGCGACGAUACAUAGCCGACCUGAGAGGGGGAUCGGCCACCCUUGGACUGAGACACGGCCCAAGCCCCUUCGGGAGGCAGCAGGAGGGAAGCUUCGGCAAUGGACGGAAGGCUUGCCCAGGAACUCCGGGGGAGUGAAGAAGGGUUUCGGAGUGUAAAACUCGUUUGGUAGGGAAGAACGAGCGUCAGGUUAAUAAGUUCACGCUGUGACGGUACCUUAACAGAAAGCAACGGCUAACUACGUG